rnacentral:rRNA from 1 species
AGUCGAACGCUUCUUUUUCCACCGGAGCUUGCUCCACCGGAAAAAGAAGAGUGGCGAACGGGUGAGUAACACGUGGGUAACCUGCCCAUCAGAAGGGGAUAACACUUGGAAACAGGUGCUAAUACCGUAUAACAAUCAAAACCGCAUGGUUUUGAUUUGAAAGGCGCUUUCGGGUGUCGCUGAUGGAUGGACCCGCGGUGCAUUAGCUAGUUGGUGAGGUAACGGCUCACCAAGGCCACGAUGCAUAGCCGACCUGAGAGGGUGAUCGGCCACAUUGGGACUGAGACACGGCCCAAACUCCUACGGGAGGCAGCAGUAGGGAAUCUUCGGCAAUGGACGAAAGUCUGACCGAGCAACGCCGCGUGAGUGAAGAAGGUUUUCGGAUCGUAAAACUCUGUUGUUAGAGAAGAACAAGGAUGAGAGUAACUGUUCAUCCCUUGACGGUAUCUAACCAGAAAGCCACGGCUAACUACGUGCCAGCAGCCGCGGUAAUACGUAGGUGGCAAGCGUUGUCCGGAUUUAUUGGGCGUAAAGCGAGCGCAGGCGGUUUCUUAAGUCUGAUGUGAAAGCCCCCGGCUCAACCGGGGAGGGUCAUUGGAAACUGGGAGACUUGAGUGCAGAAGAGGAGAGUGGAAUUCCAUGUGUAGCGGUGAAAUGCGUAGAUAUAUGGAGGAACACCAGUGGCGAAGGCGGCUCUCUGGUCUGUAACUGACGCUGAGGCUCGAAAGCGUGGGGAGCAAACAGGAUUAGAUACCCUGGUAGUCCACGCCGUAAACGAUGAGUGCUAAGUGUUGGAGGGUUUCCGCCCUUCAGUGCUGCAGCUAACGCAUUAAGCACUCCGCCUGGGGAGUACGACCGCAAGGUUGAAACUCAAAGGAAUUGACGGGGGCCCGCACAAGCGGUGGAGCAUGUGGUUUAAUUGGAAGCAACGGGAAGAACCUUACCAGGUCUUGACAUCCUUUGACCACUCUAGAGAUAGAGCUUCCCCUUCGGGGGCAAAGUGACAGGUGGUGCAUGGUUGUCGUCAGCUCGUGUCGUGAGAUGUUGGGUUAAGUCCCGCAACGAGCGCAACCCUUAUUGUUAGUUGCCAUCAUUCAGUUGGGCACUCUAGCAAGACUGCCGGUGACAAACCGGAGGAAGGUGGGGAUGACGUCAAAUCAUCAUGCCCCUUAU